UACAGAGGGGGCAAGCGUUAUUCGGAAUUAUUGGGCGUAAAGGGCGCGUAGGCGGCCUGGCAAGUGGAUGGUGGAAUCCCUCGGCUUAACCGAGGAACUGCCAUCCAGACUGCUUGGCUUGAGACCGGGAGAGGUGAGUGGAAUUCCCAGUGUAGCGGUGAAAUGCGUAGAUAUUGGGAGGAACACCAGUGGCGAAGGCGGCUCACUGGACCGGUACUGACGCUGAGGCGCGAAAGCGUGGGGAGCAAACGGG
rnacentral:rRNA from 1 species